GGGGUUGUGGCUCAGAGGUAGAGCACUUGCCUAGCAUGCAUGAUGCACUGAGUUUAAUCCUUGGCACCA
rnacentral:tRNA from 1 species